GACGAACGCUGGCGGCGUGCUUAAUACAUGCAAGUCAACUGAACUUGAGAUAGCAAUAUUUUAAGGGAGGUGGCGCACGGGUGAGUAACACGUAGGUAAUCUGCCUUUAGGUCUGACACAACCCCGAGAAAUCGGGGCUAAUAUCAGAUGAUGCAGCGGCUCGACAUCGAGACAGUUGUUAAACCUUCGGGGCCGUAGAGAUGAGCCUGCGUCUGAUUAGGUAGUUGGCGGAGUAAAAGACCCACCAAGCCUGCGAUCAGUAGCUGGUCUGAGAGGAUGAUCAGCCACACUGGAACUGAGACACGGUCCAGACUCCUACGGGAGGCAGCAGUAAGGAAUAUUGCUCAAUGGCCGAAAGGCUGAAGCAGCAACGCCGCGUGGAGGAUGAAAUACUUUUGUAUGUAAACUCCUGUAAGAAGGG
rnacentral:rRNA from 1 species